GAACGCUAGCGACAGGCUUAACACAUGCAAGUCGAGGGGCAGCGGGGUGUAGCAAUACACCGCCGGCGACCGGCGCACGGGUGAGUAACGCGUAUGCAACUUGCCUAUCAGAGGGGGAUAACCCGGCGAAAGUCGGACUAAUACCGCAUGAAGCAGGGGCCCCGCAUGGGGAUAUUUGCUAAAGAUUCAUCGCUGAUAGAUAGGCAUGCGUUCCAUUAGGCAGUUGGCGGGGUAACGGCCCACCAAACCGACGAUGGAUAGGGGUUCUGAGAGGAAGGUCCCCCACAUUGGUACUGAGACACGGACCAAACUCCUACGGGAGGCAGCAGUGAGGAAUAUUGGUCAAUGGGCGCGAGCCUGAACCAGCCAAGUCGCGUGAGGGAUGAAGGUUCUAUGGAUCGUAAACCUCUUUUAUAAGGGAAUAAAGUGCGGGACGUGUCCCGUUUUGUAUGUACCUUAUGAAUAAGGAUCGGCUAACUCCGUGCCAGCAGCCGCGGUAAUACGGAGGAUCCGAGCGUUAUCCGGAUUUAUUGGGUUUAAAGGGUGCGUAGGCGGCCUUUUAAGUCAGCGGUGAAAGUCUGUGGCUCAACCAUAGAAUUGCCGUUGAGACUGGGGGGCUUGAGUAUGUUUGAGGCAGGCGGAAUGCGUGGUGUAGCGGUGAAAUGCUUAGAUAUCACGCAGAACCCCGAUUGCGAAGGCAACCUGCCAAGCCAUGACUGACGCUGAUGCACGAAAGCGUGGGGAUCAAACAGGAUUAGAUACCCUGGUAGUCCACGCAGUAAACGAUGAUCACUAGCUGUUUGCGAUACAGUGUAAGCGGCACAGCGAAAGCGUUAAGUGAUCCACCCUGGGGAGUACGCCGGCAACGGUGAAACUCAAAGGAAUUGACGGGGGCCCGCACAAGCGGAGGAACAUGUGGUUUAAUUCGAUGAUACGCGAGGAACCUUACCCGGGUUUGAACGCAUUCGGACCGAGGUGGAAACACCUUUUCUAGCAAUAGCCGUUUGCGAGGUGCUGCAUGGUUGUAGUCAGCUCGUGCCGUGAGGUGUCGGCUUAAGUGCCAUAACGAGCGCAACCCUUGCCACUAGUUACUAACAGGUAAAGCUGAGGACUCUGGUGGGACUGCCAGCGUAAGCUGCGAGGAAGGCGGGGAUGACGUCAAAUCAGCACGGCCCUUACAUCCGGGGCGACACACGUGUGACAAUGGCGUGGACAAAGGGAUGCCACCUGGCGACAGGGAGCGAAUCCCCAAACCACGUCUCAGUUCGGAUCGGAGUCUGCAACCCGACUCCGUGAAGCUGGAUUCGUUAGUAAUCGAGCAUCAGCCAUGGCGCGGUGAAUACGUUCCCGGGCCUUGUACACACCGCCCGUCAAGCCAUGGGAGCCGGGGGUACCAGAAGUCCGUAACCGCGAGGAUCGGCCUAGGGUAAAACUGG
rnacentral:rRNA from 1 species